UGCGAAGGGGGCUAGCGUUGUUCGGAAUUACUGGGCGUAAAGCGCACGUAGGCGGACAUUUAAGUCAGGGGUGAAAUCCCAGAGCUCAACUCUGGAACUGCCUUUGAUACUGGGUGUCUUGAGUAUGGAAGAGGUGAGUGGAAUUCCGAGUGUAGAGGUGAAAUUCGUAGAUAUUCGGAGGAACACCAGUGGCGAAGGCGGCUCACUGGUCCAUUACUGACGCUGAGGUGCGAAAGCGUGGGGAGCGAACAGG
rnacentral:rRNA from 1 species